ACCUCCAAUCACCAGAUGGCACUGUUGAUCAUUGUUUUAUUGCAGGUCUUAAGGCAUAUACUGUAACUGCCAAGGCAUAUCAUUUUUUUCUCCACCAAAUAAUAACCUAUGUAUGUGAUGUCAUUGACACCACACAAUCCUAGGUUGAUGUUGAAAUAAAUCAUUGCUUCAAACUCUUUCUGUUGGCUUUGAUAAGGACAUAGCAUCUCUCACUUCCAACAGCUCGCUCACUGUGUGGAUACAAAACAACUUUCUUCCACUAAACUCAGACAAGACUUAAGUCAUUGUCCUUGGCCCACAAAGUCAAGAGAAAGUGUCAGCAGGCACCUUGAAUCCUCUUACCCUCAAACCUAAAAAUCAGGUUAGCAAUGAAGAGUUCAAAUGCAAAACCAGACAUCUCACUUUUGUUGUGUGUGAAUUGAGUACAUUUAUUUUGAGGAUUUUAUUUGUGGUUCCAGGUUAAAGCUAAUAAUUGUAACUAAGGAUAAGCAAUGGGCUCAUAAUUGGCUUUCAUGGAGAUGACACUGUCUUUAAUAGAAUACACACGGCACUUCUCUGCUUCUGGAAUAAAACUUUUCUUUUCUCGAUGAGUUUUUCAUAGGAGUUGUUUGGUUUUGCAGGGAUAGAAAAUGCAACAUCGAUCGAUGUCGUUUCUGCUAGGACGGAAGCUUCUAUUUUUGUCUAUCCAUCCAUCCAUUUUCUGUACCGCCUAUCCUCACGAGGGUCAUCUAGUUUUGUCUAAAUGGCGUUUGUCAGCUUUUGCGCUCGAACUUGCCAAAUCUAGGGCUAAGAAUGGACUCACCCCUAACCUAAACUUUAACAAUCACAUUAAAUCAAUAACAUCAGCUAUUUACCAUCUCAAAAACAUUGCUAGAAUCAAAGGUUCGCUAAAAAACAUUUAGAGAGACAUAUCCACACAUUUAACAGAAACAGGUUACUGAGCUAGCGGCACGUUGGACGACUGGUUAGAGCGUCAGUCUCACAGUUCUGAGGACCCGGGUUCCAUCCCCAGCCCCGCCUGUGUGGAGUUUGCAUGUUCUCUCCGGUUUCCUCCCACAUCCCAAAAACAUGCAUGAAUUGGAGAGUCUAAAUUGCCCGUAGGUGUGAAUGUGAGUGCGAAUGGUUGUUUGUUUGUAUGUGCCCUGCAAUUGACUGGCAACCAGUUCAGGGUGUACCCCGCCUCCUGCCCGAUGACAGCUGGCAUAGGCUCCAGCAAGCCCACGACCCUAGUGAGGAGAAGCGGCUCAGAAAAUGGAUGGAUGGAUGGAGGUUACUGAGCUGAAAGAAAGCUACAGUACAUCUGGAAUGUUGCCGCUUGGGUCCUGACUAGAACCAGGAAGUAUGAUCAUAUCAGUCCUGACUCCUGUGCUCAGGUCUGCACAGUCCUCCUGUCACUCAGAGAAUAGACUUCAUCAAGUAGCUCUUCGACAUUUUGGUCCUCUCCAACUGCAAGACUUCCAGGGACAUGUCUACUGCUGGUGCCCAGAGUAAGAGCUAAAUGUGGUGAAACUGUAUUUCAGCUGUAUUGCAGCUAAACCCGUGGCACCUGGUAACCACAUUAUUAUCCUUGAAGACAAAACAACAACAACAACAAAAAUUUAAUUAGAUUUUUAAUAAUAAAAUAAUAUUUAAUCUAUUUCUAUUUAUCUUGUUUCGUUCAUCUCUGUUGUCUGAUUCCAUGAAGUGUUUCUGGCCUAGGGCACGCAAAUCUUUACCCACUGACUCGGGUUCAAAGUUUAACAUGCACACUAGCUCCUCUUCAAUACAUCAGAUUGGACGAAGGGUGCCCAAGGUGGGGGCCCCCAAGCCAGCCAAUGUCACUUCCAACUGUUGCAGCUCAGUCUCUAUACACGCAGCACUUUUCACACGCAGCGUUCCGUGUUGACAUGUCAACCUUCGGUCAAGUCAAGCGGAGCAAAGUUCAUUCGCCGUCUACUGAAAUGGAUAUUUAUUUAUUCCAAGUUUUACAUCUCACCAUACCUAAAAUUUUGAAGGAAACCGGAGUACCUGGAAAAAACCCACGCUGGCACAGGGAGAACAUGCAAACUCCACACAGGCGGGGCCAGGGAUUGAACCCCGUUCCUCAGAACUGUGAGGGUCGUGGCGACUCGUGGGUCAGCUGGAGCGAGAGGCGGGGUACAUCCUGAGCUGGUCGCCAACCAAUUGCAGAGUAAAUACAGACAAACAACCAUUCACAAACAUUCACACCUAUAGACAAUUUAGUCUUCGACGAAGCUAACGUUCAUGUUUUUGGAAUGUUGGAGGAAGCCUGAGUAUCUGUAGAAAACCCACGUAUGCACAAGGGAAGCAUGCAAACACCACACAUGAAGGCCGGAGGCCAGAUUAGAAUCCCGGUCAUUCGAACUGUGAAGCACUUCUUUGAACAAUCACUGUAUACUUCUGCUGAAUGAUUGUUGUUCCUCCUUGCAAACUAUAUUAAACCAUCUUUAAACGUAUCUACUUCACUUAGAUAUGAUUUAAGAAAUGUCAACUCUUCCAGCUACGAAGGUAACUGAGAUA